GUGUCAGCAGCCGCGGUAAUACGGAGGGGGCUAGCGUUGUUCGGAGUCACUGGGCGUAAAGGGCGCGUAGGCGGUUCGCUAAGUCGGGCGUGAAAGCCCCGGGCUCAACCUGGGAUGUGCGCUUGAUACUGGCGGGCUCGAGUCCGGGAGAGGUGAGCGGAAUACCCAGUGUAGAGGUGAAAUUCGUAGAUAUUGGGUGGAACACCAGUGGCGAAGGCGGCUCACUGGACCGGGACUGACGCUGAGGCGCGAAAGCGUGGGGAGCAAACAGGAUUAGAUACCCUGGUAGUCCACGCCGUAAACGAUGUGCGCUAGACGUCGGGGGUUCGGCCUUCGGUGUCGCAGCUAACGCAUUAAGCGCACCGCCUGGGGAGUACGGCCGCAAGGUUAAAACUUAAAGGAAUUGACGGGG
rnacentral:rRNA from 1 species